CAGUGACGUGUGUUUUAAAUAAUACAAGCAAAUGCCAAGGUCAUGCAUAUAGUAACAACGCAGCAGGUCACACAGAUGGAUAUUCUGGGAAACAUCGAGAAAGUCUUGUGGGUCACAGGGGACAAAGUAUGAAAUGUGAGCAGCUACACUGAUAUUCAGAGAUUUCAGAGACUUUACAGAUUUCAGAGACUUCAAGAAGAGGGGAUAGCAACAGCAGACUGUUUCUCAAUGCCACAGCCAAGAAAAAACUCUCAGACAAACAAGCCCGUAACAACAACAAACUUCAGCUUGGAACACAUGAGUCUGAUCAAGUCUCUGUAACUUUAUAUUUUGCGAAUUCUGUUGCUUGGGUUAAGAAAGAUAAACUUUGAAGUCCAAAUUUA